AUUGAACGCUGGCGGAAUGCUUUACACAUGCAAGUCGAACGGUAGAGGGGCAACCCUUGAGAGUGGCGAACGGGUGAGUAAUGUAUCGGAACAUGCCCAGUCGUGGGGGAUAACGUAGCGAAAGUUACGCUAAUACCGCAUACGAUCUAUGGAUGAAAGCGGGGGAUCGCAAGACCUCGCGCGAUUGGAGUGGCCGAUAUCAGAUUAGGUAGUUGGUGGGGUAAAGGCCUACCAAGGCGACGAUGUUUAACUGGUCUGAGAGGAUGAUCAGUCACACUGGAACUGAGACACGGUCCAGACUCCUACGGGAGGUAGCAGUAGGGAAUAUUGCGCAAUGGGGGAAACCCUGACGCAGCAACGCCGCGUGAGUGAGGAAGGCCUUCGGGUUGUAAAACUCUGUCCUAAGGGAAAAAUGGUAUAAUGGUUAAUACCCAUUGUAUGUGAUGGUACCUUAGAAGAAAGCACCGGCUAACUUCGUGCCAGCCGCCGCGGUAAGAC
rnacentral:rRNA from 1 species